AACGAACGCUGGCGGCAGGCCUAACACAUGCAAGUCGAACGAAACCGGCGGGUUUGGUGGCUCACGUGUGCGUAACGGGGGGGAACCUGCCCUUAGGUUCGGAAGAACUCCCGGAAAGGGGUUCUAAUAGCGGAUAAUGUCUUCCGACCAAAGAUUGAGCGCCUUUGGAUGGGCCCGGGUUGGAUUGGCUAGAUGGGAGGGUAAACGGCUACCAAGGCGAGGACCCAUAGCUGGUCUGAGAGGAUGAUCAGCGACACUGGGACUGAGACACGGCCCAGAAUCUUACGGGAGGCAGCAGUGGGGAAUAUUGGACAAUGGGCGAAAGCAUGAUCCAGCAAUGACGGGUGAGUGAUGAAGGCCUUAGGGUUGUAAAGCUCUUUUACCCGGGAUGAUAAUGACAGUACCGGGAGAAUAAGCUCCGGCUAACUCCGUG
rnacentral:rRNA from 1 species